rnacentral:rRNA from 1 species
AUUGAACGCUGGCGGCAGGCUUAACACAUGCAAGUCGAGCGGAGUGAUGGUGCUUGCACUAUCACUUAGCGGCGGACGGGUGAGUAAUGCUUAGGAAUCUGCCUAUUAGUGGGGGACAACAUCUCGAAAGGGAUGCUAAUACCGCAUACGUCCUACGGGAGAAAGCAGGGGAUCACUUGUGUCCUUGCGCUAAUAGAUGAGCCUAAGUCGGAUUAGUUAGUUGGUGGGGUAAAGUCCUACCAAGGCGACGAUGUGUAGCGGGUCUGAGAUGAUGAUGCGCCACCCUGGGACUGAGACACGGACCAGACUCCUACGGAAGGGAGCAGUGGUGACUCUUGGACAAUGGAGGGAACCCUGAUCUAGCCAUGCGUCGUGUGUGAAGAAGGCAUUAUGGUUGUAAAGCACUUUAAGCGAGGAGGAGGCUCUUUUGGUUAAUACCCAAGAUGAGUGGACGUUACUCGCAGAAUAAGCACCGACUAACUCUGUGCCAGCCGCCGCCGUAA